rnacentral:rRNA from 1 species
GAUGAACGCUAGCGGCAGGCUUAAUACAUGCAAGUCGAACGGGAAUUGGGUAGCAAUACCUGAUGAUAGUGGCGCACGGGUGCGUAACGCGUAUGCAACCUACCUUUAACAGGGGGAUAGCCCGGAGAAAUUCGGAUUAAUACCCCAUAGUAUUAUGGAGAGGCAUCUUUUCAUGAUUAAAGUUCCGGCGGUUAAAGAUGGGCAUGCGUGCCAUUAGCUAGUUGGUGAGGUAACGGCUCACCAAGGCGACGAUGGUUAGGGGUCCUGAGAGGGUUAUCCCCCAACUGGUACUGAGACACGGACCAGACUCCUACGGGAGGCAGCAGUAAGGAUAUUGGUCAAUGGGCGGAAGCCUGAACCAGCCAUGCCGCGUGCAGGAAGACGGCCUUAUGGGUUGUAAACUGCUUUUGUCAGGGAAUAAACCCUCGUUUGCGAACGAGGCUGAAGGUACCUGAAGAAUAAGCAUCGGCUAACGUCCGUGCCAAGCAGCCGCGGUAAAACGUAGCGUG